UGUGUAGGUGGUUGGUUAAGUUUGAGGUGAAAGCUCCGAGCUCAACUCGGAAAAUGCCUUGAAGACUAUCUGACUAGAGGAUUGGAGGGGAGAUUGGAAUUCUCGGUGUAGCAGUGAAAUGCGUAGAUAUCGAGAGGAACACCAGUGGCGAAGGCGAAUCUCUGGACAAUUCCUGACACUGAGGCACGAAAGCCAAGGGAGCAGACG
rnacentral:rRNA from 1 species